rnacentral:rRNA from 1 species
UACGGAGGGUGCAAGCGUUAAUCGGAAUUACUGGGCGCAAAGCGCACGCAGGCGGUUGGAUAAGUUAGAUGUGAAAGCCCCGGGCUCAACCUGGGAAUUGCAUUUAAAACUGUCCAGCUAGAGUCUUGUAGAGGGGGGUAGAAUUCCAGGUGUAGCGGUGAAAUGCGUAGAGAUCUGGAGGAAUACCGGUGGCGAAGGCGGCCCCCUGGACAAAGACUGACGCUCAGGUGCGAAAGCGUGGGGAGCAAACAGG